ACAGAUAUGAGCCACCAUGGCUGACUGACGGGCACCAAAUUCUAGGAGAGGACUUGAAUAGGCUCCUAAGGAGGCAGCAGAAACCAAGGUAAUCACAAUGGUCAACAGCAGCGAAGGCAGCACUUUCUGAUUUUAAACUUGACUGCUAUGGAUGCCACCUCAGUUUAAUAUCUGAGGCCCUGUAGGGCAGCUUCAGACAACGGCCUCCACCUCAGCAGGAGCAGCUGGGAGCCUGGGCUCUUCUUCCUGAAACUGCCUUCAGAGUUGGAUGGAAGAAGGGCAGUUGCCAAAAACCUGGCUGAAUCUGAGCUCAGGUGGAAUUUUCUAUCUCAGCUGCCGCUGAAAUCAAAGAUGAGCUCAGGCACUGGUCUUCCAAGAUGUCAAAGCACAAGUCCUUUCAGAGAGUGAACUCACGCAGACCCCAAGUAUGUGAAAUUGCUGAAUUUGGAGCUGCUCUGUCCGAGUGGUGUGGGCAGCUUUCUGCUGGACCCUUCUAGCCACAGGAGGAUACCCUUCCUCCCAGGAUAGCCCCCGAGGCACUGUGUCUGAAAGCCCCUUAUUUUGUAGAGAAGAAAAAUAAAGUCCUAAAAUGUUGAGGUGACAUCUUAGCUUGGGUUCCCCACAAAACAGAGCCAGAGGCAAAGGCUUGGGUGCCAGUAGUUUAUUUGAAGGUGAUUCCAGAAAACAGAAGAA
rnacentral:antisense_RNA from 1 species